rnacentral:rRNA from 1 species
UACAGAGGUCUCAAGCGUUGUUCGGAUUCAUUGGGCGUAAAGGGUGCGUAGGUGGCGCCGUAAGUCAGGUGUGAAAUCUCGGGGCUUAACUCCGAAACUGCAUUUGAUACUGCGGUGCUUGAGGACUGGAGAGGAGACUGGAAUUUACGGUGUAGCGGUGAAAUGCGUAGAUAUCGUAAGGAAGACCAGUGGCGAAGGCGGGUCUCUGGACAGUUCCUGACACUGAGACACGAAGGCCAGGGGAGCAAACGGG